AGUGCUUGGGGAGGUGGAGCAAAAGGGGAAACCCAAAGAUCAGCCCUUUGUUUAGAAGAGACUCGCACUGCAGAAAUCUGAGGUCUGCUCUGAAGUCUAAACAGGAGAUAAAGGCUCAAGUCCUCAGCUGCAGCUGGUGUGAGAACCAUGAUUCGGAGAUGGAGCAGAUACAGUAGCCGUUGUGCUUCUCUCCAGCAGUGCUGCAGUGCUGGUGUCUUUGGGGUUGUCCAGCCCAGUGAUGCUUAAGGCUCAAAUAUUUCAGCAGGAAGGAUGGUGGUUGCCAACCAAAGAAGAUAAUGCUCUGUUCCUCAGAAGCUCACAUCAUCCCUAUCUGAAAACCUUCACUGUUUUUUCGGACAGAUCAUGAGUCUUCCAAUGAACUUUAUUUUUUCAGACAUCUCCUUGUUUGGAAGGUGAUGCUCAGAAAUAGUGUUGUCAAUGGGGUCAUAGCGUUAUUUAAUAUCUCUAGAUUAGUCUUCACAUGCAUGACAUAGGCUGGCACAGGUCUUUGCCUUGUAUGUUCUUCAAGAUGUUUUGAAGCAUUUUAAACUCCCUCAGGCUGCAGGACAAGUGUGAUUAAGGCACUCACAGUCCAGGGAUCUUGGUGGAUCUUGCUGUGUCUUCCUUUCAAUCCACACACCAGGGUCUUCUUCCCAGAGGCUAGAUAAUGAAGGCAAACUGGGGGAGGGUUGAAUAAGGAGGUGGAGAGUGGAGAUUUAUAUCUGUGGCAGUCCCUAUACUGGAGCAGAGGCAUAACUAGAGCUCAAGAAUUGCUUCAGGUUCCUGCAGCUCACACUCAGCUCUGGUUACUCCAUUCUCAACGUGUAACGGAGACAUCAUGAAAUGUAAGCUGACACUUCUCAGCAGUGUCUUUCUUUGGAGUGUCAAAUCAA